CUCAGGAAAUGUAUACAGUGAUGAUUCUGUGCAAAAAUGGAGGACAUGUGCCGCAAUCAAAGAUGUAGUGAGUCAAUAGUUGUGACACCCAAACUUUCUUGUGAAAGUUUUUAAGGUUCUACACCACAGAUAGAAAUAUAAAAGAGAAAGAUAGGACUGCAAGUCAACUUUGCACAAAGCAGCUGCCUUACUCUACAGCAAAAGCAAUCUGUUGGCCCGCCUGUGUGCCGGCAGAUCAUCCAACGCAGUGGAGCAUGCAUGGAGUUAGCAUUAGCGUAUGAUAUAUGUACUAAUUUUUUGAAAAAGUAGCAGCCCUAAUGUAUGCCAGUGCCAAAGCUACAACCAGCUAGCAAGUGAUGUCAAUUGAACAUUUGAAGUUUUCUGUUUCUUUGCAGCUAGUCAGUUCACUCAAAGUCUUGAUUUACCGUAGUUUAGAAAUAUGUCAGAGAGCAUAUUUGACAAAACCUUUUACUGUUUUGAUCAACUCUAAAUCAUCACAGAUGAAUGUGCAGUGCAAAGCCAAGUGAAUGGAUGUGUGCAGGACUUCCAGAGCACCUAUUACCACAGGCACAGUUAAAGGGCUGUUGUAAAAUUCUUAUGUGUUUGUGUGCUCAUCAUAUUUUUAUAUGGAGUCAAAGACAUAAAAUAUAAAUUUAGGGGUGAAAGAAGGCGAAUUUUAUUUUGUUACAUGGAGUAAGAAUCAUUCCUCUCUAGCACAGCUUCACUCUGUGUGUAAUGCACUUUCCCUAUAGCUCUAAAUCAGCAGGGACAGCACAGCAGCAGCAGCAGCAGCAGUGUUGUUGGAGAGUCUAGGCCAGGUUAUCCAGCUAUGGUAUCACACAGGUAAAAGGGCUGCCUGUGUAACAAGAGUGCAACAAGUUGCAACUGUUAACUGUUGCCUGUAAAAUGGUAAAUGUGCUGUUUUUGUGCAAGACUCACUCAUUUAUGUCACAUCCACACCACAUUCAGCCACUAAUGGCAAGGACUGCUUAACUCAUCCCGUUUACACACUGCAGCUGGAGCCACCAGAGGCAGUUUGGGUCUUGAAUCAGGACACUUCAUCAUGCGGGACCAGGAGCUGAAUGAACUUUUAGGAUUGACUCUACUACCGAGCUACAGCUGCCCCAACCUCAAUUUGAUUUUGACUAAAAACCCCAAACGUAAAGACCAAAAUGAGUCUGAAAUAUUUUGAGUUUUCAUCAGCUAAUACAGACUAGACCAUGACUAAUGCUAAGAAGAAUUUUGGACUUCUUCUGAUAUAGCUGCCAAAUGUAUCUAUAACAUCGUCACCCCCACUGUGAAGAUGCUGAAGGUGACAGUACUCACUAAGUGCUGCUGAUGAUGUGGUUUCUGUUUCUGAUGACUCACCCACUUUUUACCACUGUGGGUGUGUAUCACCGUCAAACAGAAACACACCGGAUGUGUUGUAGACAGGCAGUUUUAUAGCGAUAAAACACCUGUUUUUAUUCUAUGCAUAGUGUCGGGAGAAAUGAUUGGGAAAAAAAGGCAACAGACUGAUAAGGCAGAUGACAAAAUGACAGAGCAGUUAUUGUCACAGUGAGUUAGACUGCAGGCCACAUAAUCCAUUUCACUGGUGACAGACAGAUCAAAUGAGCGAGAGCAAACAGGGUGGGGUGAGUAAUCAGUCUAAUACUCACCGGCUGGGGGCAAACGCUCCUCUUUGGGCCCCUUUGCAGUGAUGGAGGGACUUAAUAAGGCAAAAGUGUCACCAUCUCCACCUCCUGUUAGCACUCUCAUCACCAUCACUCCUUCUUCAUCACCAUUUCUCCUGCUGUCAUGGAGACUAAUUGCCGUCAUACCUCUGGCAGCGAAAGCGUUGUUACAUUCCCUCAUGAUCCAGAAACCCUGGGGCAGGAAGGGUAAAAAAUGACCACUCAACAUACAUUACAACAUGCUGACAUGCUUGGAGGGGAUGCUCUGAUUAACAACGAGGGCAGCUGAUUCUCACACACCAGGCUGCACAGAUUAUACAGAGAAAUGUACAAACACCACUGGCAAAACACAACAGCACGCAACACAGCCGCUUGCCAACUUCAUUAGCAUAAUAUGCAGACAGAAAUGUACAGACAUCUCACACUGUAGGUCCGGAGCAAAACAAGAUCAAACUAUAAUUAAAUCUGUUAUAAAUACACAAGCUGAGGAUACAAACUGAUGAAGAUGCUACAAGGGACACUAAAACUACCACAGGAGCUAGCACCAAAGCUAGGCUACAGUCUUCUGCAGGGGGGCUGAUUCUAGUGUGCAAUCAAGCUAAUUUGGAAAGACCCAAUUAUUCAUCUCGCUGUUGUAGUUUUUGCCUUGUUGUUGUGUAUCACAAAGUAUUUUCUGCAUUUUUGCCCUUGUGCUGCUUCCCCCUGUGUGUGUAUUGUUGUUCCUGUGGUCCUUGUGUUUCACUGUUUUCGCUUAGUUCACCUGUCAGUCUCUCUUGUGAUUGUGUGCCCUCAUUGUCUGCACCUGUGCCUUGUUGCCUCACCUGUCUAUCAUUGCUUGGUACUUUGUGUGCAUUCAUUCUCUGUGUUGCCUGAGGUGACCAGCUUUCUGAAAUGAAAUCUGAGGACAUUUCAAGCUCAGAGAUAAAAACAGAAUUAAAUGUGAGAGACAACAUCUCAGGCCACACUGUGAAGUCAUAUUUCAGCAAAUGUUAAUGCGGGGCUUAUUGAAAUGAAGCUAGUAGCAGACUAGCAAUGUUGGUAACAUUGACAUCAUAUAUCACAAUUUUAACUGAUCUGCGUAUGUUAGCUGUAUGUACUGUUUUGUUAACCCUGGACGUGUCACUGAGAACAUUACCUCUAUAGAUUCCAGCUGUCAGUGUCGGUAUAGCAACAGAUGCUAUAUCAGCUGUUUCAGAACCUGCGCUGCAAUUUAAAUAAGUCUAAUUAAUGGAACAUUAAUCCUCCGUUUCACAGGCAAUGUAUGUCGCCUUAUGUGUGUGUGUGUGUGUGUGUGUGUGUGUGUGUGUGUGUGUGUGUGUGUGUGUGUGUGUGUGUGUGUGUGUGUGUGGGAAUGUGUUCAUAUGGCAUUUUUCUGAUGCUACAGGACAUAUCAUGAGAAAAAUACAUGUGAAAUUGCAUAUCUUUAUUAUUUCUGCUUUCAAAUCGCUGUGAAUCUCUGGCAGACCCAAACCGCAGGCUCAGGUACAGUGAGAUUUCCUAUGUAGCAAAUCCAAGCUCCGCCCCUGGAGCCCUGCUAUGCGGGCCAGACUUGGAAAAGUACAGAGGAUGAUCGUAGAACAAGCAUGUGCGUUAGCGGAUUGAAACGCUCGUAAGAAAGGCAAUUAUAAUACUAACUUUCAUCACGUCCCAAGAGACAUAAAUAUCCGAUAGCUGAAUAGCCCCCAUGUUACCUGCCACUUCUACUACACCAGCAAUGUUAGGCUGCAAGCUAGCGUCAAGAAGAGUGUGCAGAUCAUCACUGUCUCUGCCCACGACUCAGAGGUGAUUUGAUUAAGAUCUACUGGAGCUCUGCAGAAGGAAAUUACACAGGUAUCAAGAUUUUAGCUAAAAACUUCAUAAUCACAAUUUAAAGACCACUGAUAACACUUUAAGUGAAAAAAAAAACAAAAAACGAUUGGAGUGGGACUUUAAGCAUAAAGUGUUAAACAACAUGCAAAACUGAGAAGCAAAAAUUGUCAAAAUUCAAUGACUCGUGCAGGGAAGACAAAUAUAGCUGAUCAUGCUGCAUGAGGAAAAGCACAUCUGUUUUGCAUCUGCAGAAACUGCAAAACAAAAAGGGCUUUCUGAUAGCAAAGUUAAGCUUGAUAUUGAUCAGAGAAGUGUACACUUUUAAAUCAACAUGAGUCUGAGCCAUCCAAAACUGGCUAAAUAGCUUGUUUGCAGUAAACUGUAGCCUAGCUCAUGUAGCAGCUUCUAAUUAAUGGGGCAGAGCUGAGCAGCAUUCAUUGUUGUAUAUAUACUUUUUUUUACAUUUUACUCGUUAUCGCUUUAACUCUGAUUUCCUGUUGUCUAACAAUGUACAGUGCUUUUCCACAUCAAAAAUGACCCAGGUGGAACCUGUUUAGCCAGAAAAGUGAACGUUAAGAUUCACUUAUUGUGCAAAGGUCAGUUAUGCAAUAAUCUGUAUUUACAAAUUCAACAUAAAUCUGUAAGGAUUUAUCUGCAUUUUAGUUUGACAGUGGGGCUGGAACAAGAGACCGUGCCAAAAGAUCUCAUUAAACUGAAUACUGAGGUGAUAAACUGUCUCUCAAGAUCAGCACACAACAUUGAAUUUUCCUCAACAACCAGGAGGAGAGUGUCUUGUUUACGCUAAGGGCAAGGGCAUCUCAAUCAAUAGCAGAGGUAGAGGAUUUAAAUGUAAUAUGCUGAUCUUUGGAUGCACUGCAGCUCAUUUGGUACACUGACAGACCUCAUAGUUACACAGAGCACCGUUAGACUCCAGUUUUCUUUCACUUUUGCACUUACAGCCACGUUCACAUUCGUCUUGUUGUCUGUCUCUCUGUCAGGUUAUCACUUUCCUCAUACAAUGAAUCCUUGAUAGUUGGUGUGCUGCCAAAAAGAUCAUACAUGCAUACAAGUUCUGUAGAUGCAUACAUGUUGAUUUUCAAAAACAGCACAAAGUAGAAACUUGUCACUCCCUCCAGAAGUCACUGACUAACAUAGAUGCUGUUUCAGUUUUUGACAGCAAAUUGUCAAACCAAAUUAAGUUUCAUCUCUGCAAGCGCAACCAUAGGUAAAAGUCUGAAGUUCUCCAUGUACACACUCCCCUCAAAGUUUAGGGAAAACAGACAAACAUAUAAAACUGCAAGAAAAAUACUGUACUUUAACUUUUUUUCUAUUGUUCCUUUUGUUUUUGUUUUAAACAAUGAAACCAUUAGCUGUCACGUACUGAAUCAUUCAAGAUGGAACAAUGCACAGCCUUAAUGGAAGAGUUGCACAACUGACUGACCACAGCCUGCACUUAAUAAGAUUCAGUCUGACUCCAGUUAAAGUAAUGCUGAUGUAAGAGGUGACCGCUGAUGAUCAAUGCUCGGAUUAUGUUCCUCUAAUUUUGCUAAAGAUAUCACUCUAUCAAGAUCUUGUUUUGAUACCUGGGCAUGAGUAUACUGAGUAUUUGGUUACCUGUGACGUGAUGUGGGUGAGAACCUGAGAUUGUGAGAAGAGUCAGAGUGGAUUGAGUUCCAAAAUGCUCUGCUACGGUUUCCUUUAGACAAAACUCUUUGGAUCAAAUAAGGACACCACAUCACCUAUCUACAUUUGAGGAGGUGUAUAUCAUCUCGGAGGGGGGACAGACAUAAUUCCAGCCAAAGAUCCUAGGUUAAAAAGUACAUGUAGAAACUAUCUAGAGUGUGCAGCUUAAGAGCUUGACAUUUUGAUGUGCAAAAGUCUCAUUUAAAGCACCUUCAUGAAUAAAAGAACUGCCUAAUCUCGCUUAUGUGAUUUUUCAUGAUCUGGAAUUAAGCUUUAGAUCACAGAAAUCUUAAAUGUGAUGAGCAGCUCAGGACUAUGUUCCCAGAUUUGCUUCUUUUUCAGCCCUGAACCCUUCAGAGUGAUAUAUCACUUAGUGUUUUAUCAGUCUGUAACUACAGAGACUUCUUCACAUUUUUAUCUCCUCUGUCGGUGAGAGCAGCUCCUUUUACUUGAGCCUAAGACUCCUCAUGUGGAGGCUUGUUUAAAAUUCAGCAGCAAAGCUUUCAGCCAAAAACUGAGGUCCAAACUAAUUAUUAUUAUUCCAUUCAUACAAUUGUACCUGAUAGAAAAGCAAGAUAUUAAAGCUCCUGUCAUUUAUUUAUUAGCAAACCUGCAUAGACCUACACAGUUAAAGGCAGUAUCCCAAUCCAUCAUUACACACAAAGAAGAGGAACAUGCACUUCUACAGCUGACCAGACAGUUAAAACUGUAUUACCAGAGUGGAUGUUUUACAAGACUGUUUCAGAGCAGGACAACAUAAUUGCAAUAAGAAUGAAACAUGCUGCAAGUGUUCUGACGGUGUGUAUUGGAGAGGCUAGAGUGAUGAUGUCGUCGCUAGAGUGGACAGCUCCUCUUGGAUCGACAAAACCUAGCUCGAAUAUAUCGCUACCACGCCCACAAAUUUCACUCCACAGCCAAAAAAAUACAUCGAAAUGGAGGUAUAUGUGUCCUGCUUCUCACAAAAGAGGUUUCAAAUCAUUAAAUCGUACCCUUGGCCAGCAGGUGACCCUUGCACACGCCCUAAUGUAAUUUUUCUCGUAAAAUUUGGUACAGUGAUGGCAAAACUUGCUGUCACUCUUCAUCUCAAAAAUCAAAGCCGUAGGACACACACAGUGGCCUGGGCAGACACCAACUGCCACAGACAUCCCCCAAAUUUCUCCAGCUUUCUCCAUUGACUCCAAUGUAAACCUGAGAGGAGGAUUUUCAGAGGAAACACAAACUGGACAUGCUUUUCAACUUGUCCUAGUUAAGACAUUUUUGGCUUCACAAAGACAAAGAAAUUAUAUCAACGUGUUCAGCCGGGACUUGUGGGUCUUACAAACUCGUUAUCAUGAAGAUAGCAGCUACAGAGGAAGAGCAUUAGGGCGUUGUUUAGGCAUUGCUCUCUCAGCUUCAAGCCCCCUUUCUCCUGCUGUAGUGAUGCAUCUACCUUCACCAUGGCAACCAAUUAGAGCACCUGGAGACAAACAGCUGACUGAAAAGCUGCUUCUAAUGGCCAUAUGAGACACAUGAAACCAGGCUCAGUACACAGAGUACUGGGGAUUACGUUUAAAACCCUUCACUAGAGUUAUUUGACAAACAUCGUAAUCUAUCCCUUCCCACAAACUUUGAGCUACAGAAACCAUCCAGGGCUAAAUAAAUUCAGUUCAUUGAGGACAUUAUGGGAUGCAUUCAGGAUUUUUUUUUUUUUUAAUUUUUUUCCACACUAGAUUCAACUUUAAUAUUCAUGCAUUAUUUAAUUCUUCAAACAAAUUAAAAAUUAUUCAAACUGAUUUAAAUGUUUUUGAUACUUCUAAUACUUUAAGAUUUUUAAUCGUUUUAAUUUCCAUGUUUUAAAUCAUUUAACGAUUUAUACAUCAUUUUAUGCAAACAAAUUCAAACUCAUUUGAACUGAUUCAAACCUUUCUUAUACUUCAGGAUUUUUAAUCAUUUUAAUUUUCCACACACUGAUUUUUUUUUAACAAUUUAUGCACUAUUCAAUGAAUUCAUCCAAAUCAUUCAAAACAAUUCAAAGCUUCCUCAAAAUUCAAACAUUCUUAUCUUUCAUAGACUUUCAAAAUUCAGCCAUUCGCAAUAGCAGUUAAGCCAUAGCAAUUUCAAACAGAGCAAUCCCACUCGCAAUUUCUUCAGAAAUUGCAUUUUCUAGUUACUUUUAACACUGUGAUGUCCGGGCAUUACAGUAAAUAGGUAUGAAAUAUUUACGCAUCUUUGCUCUCAAAAAGUCUCACCUUUUUUUACCCUCAGGUGUGCAUACAGUCAUAAAUCUUGAUAUGAAUAAACAUGAAUAAAGACACCUGAUACCACAGUGGCUUUGGUCACCAAGAGAAGACUGUCAUUGUUGCAGUGGGCAAAAAAAUCAAUACAAUUACAGUUUUAUUUCAAUUUUAUACAGCAGAAAUUAAUGAGAUGCAGAAAAUCAAAUGCUACAACAGGCAAGCAAGUAUAUAAACAAUACAAAAAUCACAAAACAAGGAGUGCCCCAGAACCUAAUCAAAGAAGUCACUUAGUUCAUUAGUCUGCGAAAGAUUCCGGCUUUGGAGUAUCUGUUAAGACAGGGUGUCUGGUCAGGACAGGAAAUUAUUUUUGGCAACAUAUUUUAAAGAUUUCAUAUUAGCACAAGUUUAAAUCCUCGACCUUGAGAAAGAAGAUCUUUUCUAAUAAAGUUCAACUUUUUUUGCACCGUGGAGUUAUACCUGAAGAGGAGAGGUGUAAGUGUAUAAAAGUUGAAGCAGCAUAAAUCUAAAUUAAUGACAGAAAUUGACACAGUGAGCCUGCCGAGUGUCUCACCCGCCUGGUAGCCUGCAGUCUGCUGUAAAGAUUCUCUUUAUACUGACUGGGAUUUUGAAGUCUGCAGGGAACCUUGUUGAUAAGCUGUGAACCUGCUUUGAAUAUGAAUUAUUUCAGCCUGAGCAGAAAGGCAUAGGUGGCUCAUUUACACUGACUUAGCUUAUUGGAGGAUGUGUGGGUUUGAAUAAUUUUGCAUCACAUUACAUCAUUUUCUGUAAAUCAGCCUUCACUUAUCAUUAGAAAGGCUGAGCUGAUGAUUAUGUUUAGAGCCCGUCCAUUGUAGCUCCAGCUGUCCAAUUUUUAUCAGCUUUAAACACAACAAAAGCCAAACAAAUCCCCAAGAGUUUGGACUGAAGAGCAAAUCCAGGACUACCUUCAAAGUGCAUCCAUUUUUCUAACAUCUAAGGCACUGUCUGCAACAUCAAAGAAAUACUCAUUUGUAUUCAGUCGGAUUCAAAUCAUUUUAUUUUUAUUUAUUUUUAUUUUUAUUUAUUUAUUUUUUACCAGAGAGUGUUUUCAGACCAGUAUUUUUGCUUUUGUGCCAGGUUAAUUUAAAAUAACCUGAGUUAUUUUCCUCAAAUAAUAACCAUCAGCAAAGUUUCACAAUAAAGGUGGGGAUGUUGGCAUAAUCGAUGGACGUGUUUUCAGUACACUAAGAAAUUCCGAAGGUGUUUUCCCUAAACACAUAACAGGUUGUUUCAUGACUACAAAGAUGUGUAAAAUGUAACACUCUGACUUGAUUUCAGCCAAAAAUGAAGCGCGUCAGGCAGAGGCUGAUCACUGCUAAAAUAGGGCUUUUCAAUGAUACAUAAGGAGCUUUUUGGUCUGCAAAUUUCAAAGAGCUACUAAAAAAAGUAUCUCAGGCUGAGGUAUGAAAAGUGAGAAUGGGUUUAGAUAGAUCUCUUUCAACAAAAAGACAUAAUAAUAUUCAAAAAAGCUUUUGGCAAAUAUGGGCUCUUAUUUCCCCCAAAACUGAACUGAGUUUGGUCCUUAGUUUGAAAAAUCAUGUAAAUAGGCUCAUCAUCUUGUUCCUGCCAUCCAUCCACUUCCCAUUGCACUGUUAUAACUGAGAGGAUUGUGCUGUAUUGUUUUCAUUGUAUCCCACAAACAAUGUCUUUCAAUCUGACUGGGUGAUGUGAGUUGAAUGUGCUCCAGAUAGGUCCUUGACUUUAGCUUGUAAUGAUAAAUUCUGGAUGGCUCAGGUGCUAUGAAUCAAUCUGGAGAAGGACAAGAGUUUAAAACAAACAAAGACUGAAAGGGCCUGGUCUCUCUUUUUUUUCUCCAAAAGAACAUGAUCUAACAGAUUUUCAUCCCUCUUCAAUCUGAAAGGAGUUCAGUCCAGGCUUUUUUUAUCUUUACAAAAGCUAAUGAUUAACACUCAUGUCUUCAUCUCUCCUC